AUGCCCACCAAUUGGUGGCAGAAAUGGUCUUUUUUGUUGCGAAAGGGCAGAAAGGGAUUUACAAAUAAAACAAGGCCAAGUAUACAAAAAAUAUACAAGGUUCUGGCCUUGAACUUCAGAAUCCCUAGGUCUGAUGUUAGUGCUCUCUUCCAACUGAGCAAUAUGCAGAGCCUCUGGUACGCGGCUCUGUCGCCGCCACCUGCUACUUUAAGUCGGCCAACGGCCUCGCUGGAAACUGGGGCUUAUCCAUAUCCCGACUCAAUCUCCGCGUCGCCCUCCUCGCUGCUCGUCAUUUACCCAAAAUAUUGUUCUUCCAUUUGGGCAAGCUUUAGUUGCGGAUGCAUCUUUGCGUGCUUGUUCUGCUUGAGCCCGCCGCCUCGCCGUGAAGCCCUCUGCUGCAGCCUCUCACUUCACUGUCGACGACACUCUGCUUCAACCCGUCUCUGUCCAGUACCGGACAAACCUGUUGUAAAGACACUUGAGAUGGAGGCCUGA
rnacentral:rRNA from 1 species